AUUGAACGCUGGCGGCGUGCUUAACACAUGCAAGUCGAUCGGGAACAGGUGUAGCAAUACAUGCUGACGAGAGGCGGACGGGUGAGGAAUAUUUGGGAAUCUGCCCAUCAGCGGGGGACAACCCGGGGAAACCCGGGCUAAUACCGCAUACGCUCUACGGAGGAAAGCCGGGGACCGCAAGGCCUGGCACUGAUGGAUGGGCCCAAAUCGGAUUAGCUAGUUGGCGGGGUAACGGCCCACCAAGGCGAUGAUCCGUAGCUGGUCUGAGAGGACGAUCAGCCACACCGGAACUGAGACACGGUCCGGACUCCUACGGGAGGCAGCAGUGGGGAAUAUUGGACAAUGGGGGAAACCCUGAUCCAGCGACGCCGCGUGGGUGAAGAAGGCCUGCGGGUUGUAAAGCCCUUUCGGUAGGGACGAAAGCUCUUGCUCUAAUAAUGCAAGAGGUUGACUUAACCUACAUAAGAAGCACCGGCUAACUCUGUACCAGCAGCCGCCGUAA
rnacentral:rRNA from 1 species